rnacentral:rRNA from 1 species
GACGAACGCUGGCGGCGCGCUUAACACAUGCAAGUCGAGCGAAGCGGCGGACGGGUGAGUAACACGUGAGUAACCUGCCUUAGACAUUGGGAUAGCCUCGGGAAACCGGGAUUAAUACCAAAUGGUCUAGGAUGGACUAGCGUCCCAUUAGCUAGUUGGUGGGUAAAGGCCCACCAAGGCGACGAUGGGUAGCCGGCGUGGGCGGGUGAACGGCAACUUUUGAGCUGAGAAGCGGUCCAAACUCUACGGGAUGCAGGAAUGGUGAAUAUUGCACAAUGGAGGGAACUCUGAUGGAGCGACGCCGCGAGAACGAAGAAGGCUUUCGAGUCGAAAAGUUCUUUUAUAUGGGAAGCGGUACCAUAAGAAAAAGCCCCGGCUAACUACGUGCCAGCAGCCGCGGUAAUAC